GUGGGUAUAGCUCAGUGGUAGAGUGCAUGCUUAGCAUGCAUGAAGUUGCACAAGGUCCUGGGUUCAAUCCCCAGUACCUAUA
rnacentral:tRNA from 1 species